AGUGAACGCUGGCGGCAGGCCUAACACAUGCAAGUCGAGCGGCAGCGCGGGGGCAACCCUGGCGGCGAGCGGCGGACGGGUGAGGGAUUCGUCGGAAUCUGCCUUAUUGUGGGGGAUAACGUAGGGAAACUUACGCUAAUACCGCAUACGUCCUACGGGAGAAAGAGGGGGACCGCAAGGCCUCACGCAGAAAGAUGAGCCGACGACCGCUUAGCUAGUGGGUGGGGUAAAGGCCCACCAAGGCGACGGUCGGUAGCUGGGCUGAGAGAAUGAUCAGCCACACUGGGACGGAGACACGGCCCAGACUCCUACGGGAGGAAGCAGUGGGGAAUAUUGGACAAUGGGGGAAAGCCUGAUCCAGCAAUGCCGCGUGUGUGAGGAAGGCCUUCGGGUUGUAAAGCACUUUUGUCCGGAAAGAAAAUCCUGGAGCUAAUACCUUCGGGGAGUGACGGUACCGGAAGAAUAAGCACCGGCUAACUUCGUG
rnacentral:rRNA from 1 species